AGUGAACGCUGGCGGUAGGCCUAACACAUGCAAGUCGAACGGCAGCACAGUAGGAGCUUGCUCUUACGGGUGGCGAGUGGCGGACGGGUGAGGAAUACAUCGGAAUCUACUUUUUCGUGGGGGAUAACGUAGGGAAACUUACGCUAAUACCGCAUACGACCUACGGGUGAAAGCAGGGGAUCUUCGGACCUUGCGCGAUUGAAUGAGCCGAUGUCGGAUUAGCUAGUUGGCGGGGUAAAGGCCCACCAAGGCGACGAUCCGUAGCUGGUCUGAGAGGAUGAUCAGCCACACUGGAACUGAGACACGGUCCAGACUCCCACGGGAGGCAGCAGUGGGGAAUAUUGGACAAUGGGCGCAAGCCUGAUCCAGCCAUACCGCGUGGGUGAAGAAGGCCUUCGGGUUGUAAAGCCCUUUUGUUGGGAAAGAAAAGCAGCAGGUUAAUACCCCGCUGUUCUGACGGUACCCAAAGAAUAAGCACCGGCUAACUUCGUG
rnacentral:rRNA from 1 species